rnacentral:rRNA from 1 species
UAAACGACUCUCGGCAACGGAUAUCUCGGCUCUCGCAUCGAUGAAGAACGUAUCUAAAUGCGAUACUUGGUGUGAAUUGCAGAAUCCCGCGAACCAUCGAGUCUUUGAACGCAAGUUGCGCCCGAAGCCACUAGGUUGAGGGCACUUCUGCCUGGGCGUCUCAC